rnacentral:lncRNA from 9 species
GGUGGGGGGAGGGGAUGCACUGGGAAGCGGAGUUUUCAGCUAGCUAGCGGGCCUGUAAGCUUGCUGUGGCGUGGGGGGUAUUCUAUGGGGACCCACCCCUUCUUCUCUCCCCUCCCCAGCACGGGCGCAGACCAGGCUCUUCUCCCAGAUUCCCUCUGAUGUGGCUUUCCCCUUCCCCACCCCUGGAGUAUUGCUCCCUUCCUCUGCGACAGCUUUGUUUUCUAGUCUCCCAGGCAGUCUCUGCCCCGUCAACUGGUUUCUAGACCUCCCAAGCAGUUUCCGCUCUGCCCCGCCCCCCUAGCCCGGGGACUAAUCUCUAGAGCCGAGGUCUCGGUGCCCAGCCCCCACCCAGGUGGCGCCCCCCGGCCCUUUCUCGGGGACUAACCUUCUGCGGCGAGGUCUCGGUGCCCAACCCCCCUCCCAGGCGUCCCCCGGCCCUUUCUCAGGGAUUAACUUCUGAGGCGAGGUCUCGGUGUUCACCCCCACCCAGGCGUCCCCCGGCCCUUUCUCAGGGAUUAACCUUCGGAGGCGAGGUCUCGGUGUUCAGCCCCCACCCAGGCAUCCCCCGGCCCCCUCUCGGGGACUAACCUUCGGCGGCGAGGUCUCGGUGCCCAGCCCCCACCCAGGCGUCCCCCGGCCCCCUCUCGGGGACUAACCUUCAGAGGCGAGGUCUCGGUGCCCAGCCCCCACCCAGGCGUCUCAAUUUUUGGUGACUCUGCCCGUAGUUCAGAUGGUCCGUUGGGUUCUUGAUCUGCUUUUCCGUACUCCAACUUACUGCUACACUCUUCUCUGCAUCUGGAGAUUCCUCCGGUUCGUUUGAUCUUUCGCCCGGUGGGUGAGUUUCCAGGUUGCGGGAUCCCUUUCUCCUCCGCAGUUCCCUUUCGGAAGCCCCCGUCUAGCUCGGAUUCGCCUUCUCUCACUCUCCUCUUUUCUCCUGUUCUGCCCAAUAAUGUCAGGAAUUUCUUGCCGUUAUUGGAGUUUAGGUUCCUCUGCCAGCGAUUGGUUGCUCCUCUGUGCGAGUCAUUUAUUCUGUAGAUGUGCUUUUUUUGUUGUAUUUGUGGGAGAGGGCGAGCGUGUCUUCCUACUCCUCCGCCAUCUUGUCCUCUCUCUCGCAAUGCUGUUUUAAAUAAUAUUUUAUUUCAAUCCUACAGUAUUAUUUUGUGAUGCUUUAAUAGGUUGAGAGGAGAAAAAUGAAUCAGGAAAACUAUUCUAAGAAUUUUUUCAGGCUGUUAAGUUCAAGCCAGACUCUCCCAGUUUAGCAGUCCCUUAUUUUUCUUUUUUUCCUUUUGGGCUGCUCUGGGGUAUACGGUGUUCCCCAGGCUAGGGAUAAGAUCCAAGCUGCCAUUCCACCUAAGCUGCAGAUGCAGGGCGGGGGAUCAAACCUGUAUCCUGGCUGAUCCAAUUGCACCACAGCGGGAAAUCCUAAGUACCCUUAAAUCCUCCACUGGUUCUGUCUAGGAAUCGCACAUGCUCUUCCACCUUCAUCAUUCAAAACCCUCAUGAGGAUCCACAUCUUAAGUAUUAGUUGGAACAAUAAAGAGAAGAGACUCUUCAUUGGGCUCUCAGUAGACAACAGAAGGUCCAGUCUGGGCUGGAGUGAGAGGCAGAAUUGUCCUCUUUGGGAAUGAAAACAGCAGGUUGACCUGAAGAAGACUCCUGGGAAACCAGUGAGGCCCUUGUGGACUGAACAAACAAUGAACAUCAUGCGAGCUGGGAGUUCAGGUAUUUGGGAGGAUUUCCUGAGGACUAUAGCCUGGAGGACAACUAUAAGGAUCUGCUCCAGGGAGCUGGGGGUGGGGGGAGGUCAGUAUAUAUAUAUGAUUUUGGCAAGUAGAAUGCUUGCCAUCAAGGACACAUCUUGGCAAUGCUGCUGCUCAUCAGGAGAAGAUGUCUCUGUUCAUGACUUUACUGCUUUUCUAGGUGUAAGAAGAGGUAAGAAAUUGGGUUCAUAAAAUUUUCUCCUGAAAUGAUCUACUACCUGAAGGCCUGAUCUGUCAGUUUUCCCAGAGAGAGAGAGUGCCUCCUUCCUGAUCCCUACCCUGACCUCCUUUCAGGGUGUAUUAAAGUUCAGGGACUCCAUUCCUGUGGAACCAGAUGGAGAGGGACUUCUUAGUUGUCACCCUGAAGGAGGAACUUCAGAGCUCAUAUGGGCAAAAACUGUUAGGUGCUUUUUUUUAUUCUUAAAGUCAUAAGAAAUAUCCAGUGUUAAAAAAAAUCAAUGCCUAGUUAUAAAACAGAAACAAACUCACAGAUUUUAAAACCAAUUUUACAGAUAAAAAUAGGUGAAACCAUUGCAGGCAGGGAAGAAUUGGGAGGCUGGGAAAAACAUACACACUACUGUAUAGGAUAGAUGAUUAACAAGAACAUACUGAAUGGCACAGGAAACUAUGCUCAGUAGUUUGUAAUAAAGUGUACUGAAAAAAUGGAUAUAUUUCUACAUAUGACUGAUUCCCUUUGCUGUACAACUGAAACUAAUACAACUUUGUAAGACAACUGACUCCAAUAAAAUUAAAGAUAAAUAAAUAAAUAAACUGCAGGUGUCUGCUGUUGGAGGGGUAAUAAAAUGGAAUGGUAAAAAAUUCACUUCAGGAGUUCCCAUUGUGGUGCAGCAGGUUAAGACCCAACUACUAUCCAUGAGGACAUGGGUUCAAUCCUUGGUCUCUCAGUGGGUUAAGGAUCUGGUAUUGCAGCAGGUGUGGCUUACGUCGCAGAUGCGGCUAGGGAUCUGCUGUUGUUGUGGCUGGUGCAUGAGCUGGCGGCUACUGUUCUGAUUCAACUCCUACCCUGGGAACUUCCAUAUGCUGUAGACAUGGCACUGAAAAGACCAAAAAAAAAUUAUUUUACUAUGUUGCAAUGAAGUUAUCACUCAUGAAAACUUAGAUUUUCUUGUAUUUUCAAAAAUCUACUCACUGCUAACUACUUAAUAGAGAUAAUAGAGAUUUUCAAUAUUUUUCAUUAGAACUUAAAGUCACUUCUCUUGACUCAGACCACACUCCCUGUUGCCCUACAAAACAAAAGACAGCAAACAUUGGAAACUGAAAUGCAAUUAACCAUCUUUUGUCACCGCAUUUUCUUCUUUCUAAUUAUUUUCUUCAUUCCUAAAGAUGGUUUUUCCACCCUUCACCUUCUUUAAUGGUGUCUUUUGGACAAAUCACUGUAAAGCCCCUCACUCAGGUUUGUCCUUAAUACAUUUAGUACACUUGAAAGAGCCCAUUCAUCCAGAUUUAUAUUUCCCUCCAGAUGUCUAAGUGAAUGUGAUCAAAAACAGGGCCAAUGAGAGGACUGUGGAAACAUUUUAAAGCACUUUCAGAGUGGUUAGUCCAGAGUUCCCUU